rfam:Ovis aries breed Texel chromosome 9, whole genome shotgun sequence.
UGGCUCAGAGGUUAAAGCGUCUGCCUCCAGUGCAGGAGACCCGGGUUCGAUCCCUGG